UGGAGAGUUUGAUCCUGGCUCAGAACGAACGCUGGCGGCAUGCCUAACACAUGCAAGUCGAACGAGACCUUCGGGUCUAGUGGCGCACGGGUGCGUAACGCGUGGGAAUCUGCCCUUGGGUUCGGAAUAACUCGCCGAAAGGCGUGCUAAUACCGGAUGAUGUCGUAAGACCAAAGAUUUAUCGCCCAGGGAUGAGCCCGCGUAAGAUUAGCUAGUUGGUGAGGUAAAGGCUCACCAAGGCGACGAUCUUUAGCUGGUCUGAGAGGAUGAUCAGCCACACUGGGACUGAGACACGGCCCAGACUCCUACGGGAGGCAGCAGUGGGGAAUAUUGGACAAUGGGCGAAAGCCUGAUCCAGCAAUGCCGCGUGAGUGAUGAAGGCCUUAGGGUUGUAAAGCUCUUUUACCCGGGAUGAUAAUGACAGUACCGGGAGAAUAAGCUCCGGCUAACUCCGUGCCAGCAGCCGCGGUA
rnacentral:rRNA from 3 species